GGGUGUAGUUCAAUGGCAGAACAGCGGUCUCCAAAACCGUCAAUGUGGGUUCGAUUCCUGCCACCC
rnacentral:tRNA from 1 species